AUUCUCUACUUUCCCAUUUCAUUUUGCAAAGCCCUAAUCCUUUCAUUUUGCAAUAGCCCUAAUCCUUCAGCCAUUCUCCACUUCCCAUUCCUAUUCUAGACAUCAUCUAGCCGUCAUCUAGCUGGGAAUACGGAAACAACAAUUCGGAGGAAACAGCCAAAGCAGAUUUUGAAGCAAUUCAGCUUCGAGUGCGUAGGAGAAGAAGUGCCGUCAUCUAGCCGGGAAUACGGAAAUAACCAAAGCAGUAAACAAGAUCCUCCUAAUUUCACGUGAAGGGGAAGAAGUGCUUCGAGUGCGUAGGGGAAGAAGUGCUUCGAGUGGGUUUGAUUUGAGAUCAGGAGGAAAUAAUCGAUCUUAGCUUGGAUUGUUAGAACAAGUUUUGUCUGAUUUCGUUUUUUAGGAAGGAUAAAUAAUAAGUUGACAAUGAAACGAACGGUUAGUGAAGUGGAAAAAGUGAGUGAACAAAAUACCGAAGCUUCAACUUCAAAAUCAUCCCAACCACCGCCGAAGAAGAGACGAGGUCCGACACGAUGCAAGAAUGUCAUAGACGCGAAAACCUUAUUACCUUUAAGGGUUAAUAAGUUUGGACAGCCGAUCGGUCCUGAGAGUGGUACAUAUACUAAUUAUCUGGGAACACUUGCCCGGAAGUGUGAAUUAGCUCCUUUGUGCUACAAAACUUGGUGGGAGAUGCCUAAACGGUUGAAGUAGGAUAUGUGGAACAUUGUAAAGGGAAAAUAUGAUAUGGGAAUCAUGACAAAACAGUGGACAAUAUCCUCCAUCAGAAAAAAAAUGGAGGGGGUACAAGUGUGAGUUGAAAAAUGAAUACUACUCAGUUAGGGAUACAGAUGAAGAAAGAUUGGGAAUUUUUGGUUAGGCAUUGGGGUACGCCUAUGGCGAAGGAGGUCAGCAAAAAAAAUAAAGAACGUUGUGGGAAGCAAACAAUGAUGCAUACUACAGGGACAAAAAGCUUUGCACGUGUUUCUACCGAGAUUGAGGAAGAUGAAGGUAUUCAGCUUUCUCGUGCAGAUUUAUUCAUCCGCACAGAUGUAAAUAAGGAUGGCAAAGCUACUGAUGCUGCUGCUUCGGAGAUGAUUGAAAACAUAAGAGAACUUCAAAAAAGUUACUCUGACUCGCCUAUUGGCAGCUCCAAUGAUUUGUUCUCCAUUGUGAGGAGAGAAGAGAGAACUGGUCGUGUGCGGAUGCUUGGCUUCGGGCCUACACCAAGCGAUGUUUGGGGGCCCUCUCCUAGUAAAGCUGAACUGAUUAAUAAUGCUAAAAAAUCUCAAGAGGAGGCAUGUGCUACACGUGUAGAGUUGCAGGAGACGAUUUCAAAAAUGCAAGCCGACUAUGACAACAAGUUGGAAAAUUUACGAGCCAACUACGACGACAAGUUGGAAAAUUUACAACAACAGGUGGCUAUGCUAAUGCAGAUGCAAUAACAAAAUUGUAGUGGACAGGAUUCUGAUUCUUUAAAUGCUCCUCCUAGAGUAUCCCCAAAUCCAUUUUCUAGUCGUGAUGCCAAUUCAGUUAAGGGUAAUUCAAAUCAAAUGGGCAAGAAGACUUGUUGAAGUUGAAGAUGGGGUCGUGGCUGUGCUUUUUGAAUUUCUUUCGCCUUGGAUGGGUUCUUUUUGAAAAACUUGUACUACAUUUGUUAAAAAUUCUUAAUUCUUUUUUUGUGACAUUUAGUACCUUUAUCUAGACAAUUUGGAUGGUAUUUUCAUAUUGGCAGGUUAACUUGUGGUUGUA